CCUUAUCCUCCUUCUCUGCUUAUUUUUUUUCCUAGCCCCUAUCACCUUCUAUCAUACCAUUUAUUUAUUUUGUUUAUUGUCUCUCUCUUCAGACUAGGAGGUAAGCUCCAACAGAGUAGGGAUCUCGUUUGUGGUGUUCACUGCAGUACCCUCAGUCCCAGGAGUAGUGCCAAGUUUUUAGAAGUGAAGAAAUGUAAAAGCCCAAGCUCACUAGGGAACUGGACAUGUGAAAAACCCUCCAACCUGAAACACUGGGGAUAUUGGUGAUCUAAAGCCUCUGAGCCUGGAUUGUAAUCCCUCUAUCCUCUUGCCGAUUCCCUUAAUCUCAGCACUUCAGUCAGUCGGAAGCUGCCACGAGAGGACAAGAUUUUCCUGGCCACAGAUGCUUUUGGAGUUUCCCUUCUACAGAAGAAUUUCAGGCAGGUUUCCAACAUCUUACAGCGACAAUUCAACUUUGUCCCUGGCAUGUAAGAAAAGUCUCUUCCUGCUUGGAGUUCUACUGGAAAACUAACCCACCGCGGCUGAGAAACACGAUUGCUGGCAAAGUUUCUCUGCAGCAACACCAGG
rnacentral:lncRNA from 1 species